rnacentral:ncRNA from 1 species
AAACAUUAAUGGGGUGCCCUAAAAGGCUGAGAUUAUACCCAAGAACCUGAUCCAGAUAAUGCUGGCGCUAGGGAAGAUAACGCACUUGGACU